rnacentral:misc_RNA from 1 species
AAGAGUUGCAAAACUCCCUAAACCGUCGUGAACGCACCUUCAACCGUUGCUUCGGCGGGUUGGCACCGGGUCUCCCGGGGCCCCCGGCCCCACCUCGGGGCGGCCCGCCGGAGGUACCUAACUCUUGAACAUUAAAUGGCCUCUCUGAGUCUUCUGUACUGAAUAAGUCA